AGUUUUUUUUUUUCUGUAGGACUCAAUUCAGUUCUUUCUAACGGUGGGACGGGAUGGAAAGUAUGCAACAGCAGGUGGAAAAGAUGCCUACAUGGACAAAGACGUCAGGCACAUCAGGAAGGCUAACAGCCAGGUUUACAUUGCCAGGAGGACUGGCAUGAGGCAGCAGCGUGGGAAAAAGUGCCAACAAGAGCAGCCAGAUACGCAGGUGAGCGUCUUAUGUUGUGUUUAUCUUUAAACACACAUAAUGCCAGUGUCAUUCAGUGACGAUAAAAAGCAAUCCGCCGAGAGCCUUUUCAGGAAUUGCACCGGAUGAUUUGGCAACUGCACAAUGCCGGGAACACCGAACAGCAGCGGGAGGUAAAGCAGGUUCAACCUUUUUACACGUUUUCAUAGUUCGCCAGAGUUUCCAGGGUUGGCAGUGCGUGGCGUCCAUUUUCAGAGAUAAAAUAACAAAAGUUGAUUUUGAACCACAGGUCGGGUUUUAAAAAUGGAACCUACAAAAAAAAAAAAAACGAAGACUGCAGGGAAGGAUGGAAGGACAAGUGAGGACAGGACCCGUGUCAGGAAAGGAACUAAGAAAUAAAUCAGGCGGGAAGAGAAUGUAGGAUACAAGGAGAAAAACAAAAGGAAGAAAAAAAGGACAUAAAGGAAGCGUAAGAUGAAGGUGGGAAAGGAAGGGCAAGCGGAAGAGGAAGUGAGCUAGGACACAAGGAUAAAAGGAAGUAAGGGCACGAGCAAGGUGAGAAAGGAAGAGAGUAAUGAAGGGGUAGACAAGACAGCAAAGAAGCAAGGAACAAAAGAAGGAUAAAAGGGAGGA